rnacentral:lncRNA from 1 species
CAUGCCAAAUGUCAAAAAAUAUAAAAAUCAAAAUGAAUAUAUGUUCAAUCAUAAUAUUCAUUAUUAUAGUUCAGUUAUAGUAGGUUAAAGAAUUACAAUAGAAUACUUGAGAAAUAUAAGUUAUAAAAUCGAAUGACUUAGGAAUUGAACAAUUGAGAGAGAGAUGAAUUAAAUUGAUGUAAUUUUCAGUACUUCAUCUACAAUGCAUUAUAGG